rnacentral:tRNA from 1 species
CGCGGGGUGGAGCACCUGUGGUAGCUCGUCGGGCUCAUAACCCGAAGGUCGUUAGUUCAAAUCUAACCCCCGCAACCA